rnacentral:tRNA from 1 species
AGGGCUGUAGCGCAGUCGGGUCAGCGCGCUCGCUUCGGGAGCGAGAGGACGGGAGUUCGAGUCUCCCCAGCCCUA